rnacentral:siRNA from 1 species
AAGUAAGAUCAGAAGAAGCAGA